CCUACGGGUGUCAGCAGUGGGGAAUAUUGCACAAUGGGGGAAACCCUGAUGCAGCAAAGCCGCGUGAGUGAAGGAGUAUUUCGGUAUGUAAAGCUCUAUCUGUAGGGAAGCAGAAAGACGGUACCUGACUAAGAAGCCCCUGCUAACUACGUACCAGCAGCCUCGGUAAUACGUAGGGGGCAAGCGUUAUCAGGAUUUACUGGGGUUAAACGGCGUGUAGACGGGUGUGCAAGGCGGAAGUGAAAGCCCGGGGCUCAACCGAGAAACUGCUUUGGAAACUGUAUGGCUUGAGUACUGGAGGGGCAUGCGGAAUGCGUGGUGUAGCGGUGAAAUGCGUAGAUAUUAGGAAGAAACCCAGUGGCGAAGGCAGCCUGUUGGCCAGAAACUGACGUUGAGGCUCGAAAGCGUGGGGAGCAAACAGGAUUAGAUACCCUGGUAGUC
rnacentral:rRNA from 1 species